rnacentral:lncRNA from 1 species
GAAAUUUUGCCGCCUCUUGUCUCUUUGGAUUCUGUAAUUUUUUGGGUUUACCCUGUUUUUUUCUACCUUGUUUUUAUUUGUUUUUUCUUCGGUAGAGUAGCUUUAGAUUCUACAUUGUAAAAUCUGAACAUCAUUAAUAUGAUAUUAACAUUCUUAGCAAAAAAAAAAGAAGAUAGUUUGAAGAUGGGGUUUUGCCUGUACAUUUAGGUAUUUGCAAAGCCACAGAGGAUAAAUUAUUAGUAGUUUGGCUACAUUUACGUAUAAGUUACUUUUUUGGUUUAGCUGCGAUUUGGUUCACUAUUUGUCUUUGUCGACUGAAACUUCUAAAGGCUAUUGUCCAUACAAUCACUAAUAAUACACUGAAACUGAAUAAUAAAAUUUUAUUAAAAAUAUAAACAAAAUAGAAACUAAUCAAUGUUUUGAGUAUUAAAUCUAACCACAACAAUAAAAACUAGAAUAAUACUUACUAUGUACAAAAAAAAUUGAACAAACAUUUAGUAAAUGUAUACCAUUUCAAUCAUUAAAAUCAUAUCAUGCUAAUACAACUUUAUAAUCUCUAACAAGAAUAAUAAAAAAUAAAGAAAAAGUUAGAUAUCUUCGCAAGAUGAUGUAAAAUGUGUUCUCAUUAUAAAAAAUAUAACAAAAAAAAGAUAAAUAACUAAAAUAGUAUUAUGUAAUUAAAAUAUAUUUGACUACAGAUAAAAGUGCAAAAACAAGUGAAAAAAUAAGCAAACAUUAAACAUUAACUAAAAUAUAUAAUAUCAUUCAUCACUUAAAAUUUCCUAUUCGCCUAAAACACUAAAACACAAACCACCAAAACAAACAAUAAAGACUAUUAUACAGUCUUUUGCAAAUACAAACCUAAAACACCAACCACCAAAUCAAACAAAAAAUAAAAACCGAAAUCACAAGUAAAGUAUACCCCGCCCGCAGGGCGGGCCUAUCCUAGUAAAUUAAAAAAAAAGAAUCUGAUGAUAAAGUGACCCCUCUAGACUAUCAUGAUCGAUCUUUGAUCAAGAGGUGUCCUUAAUUUGUUUUAUGCUUCUCAUUAUAUCAAUAGAUAAGCUAGUUUUAACCAGUUUCUUUCAUGUAUAUGUGCAAAGUUUAAGGAUAUGGAUUUUUUCGAACAGUUCUCACAAAUUCCUAUGGCACCUACACGUUCCC